AGAGUUUGAUCCUGGCUCAGAAUGAACGCUGGCGGCGUGCCUAACACAUGCAAGUCGAACGAGAAACUCCGGGCUUGCUCGGAGGAGUAAAGUGGCGCACGGGUGAGUAACGCGUGGGUAACCUGCCCUUGAACUUGGGAUAACUCCGUGAAAACGGAGCUAAUACCAGAUAUUGUCCUUAUAGCUUUGGCUUUGAGGAUGAAAGAUGACCUCUUCAUGAAAGUUGUCGAUCAAGGAGGGGCCCGCGUACCAUUAGCUUGUUGGUAGGGUAACGGCCUACCAAGGCUGCGAUGGUUAGCUGGUCUGAGAGGAUGAUCAGCCACACUGGAACUGAAACACGGUCCAGACUCCUACGGGAGGCAGCAGUGAGGAAUUUUGCGCAAUGGGGGAAACCCUGACGCAGCAACGCCGCGUGAGUGAAGAAGGCUUUCGGGUCGUAAAACUCUGUCAAGUGGGAAAAAAUACUUUCGAUUAAUAGUCGGGAGGGUUGAUGGUACCAUUGAAGGAAGCACCGGCUAACUCCGUGCCAGCAGCCGCGGUAAUACGGAGGGUGCAAGCGUUGUUCGGAAUUAUUGGGCGUAAAGAGCGUGUAGGCGGUUUGGUAAGUCAGAUGUGAAAGCCCUGGGCUUAACCUAGGAAGUGCAUUUGAUAC
rnacentral:rRNA from 1 species